UUUUAUAAUUUUUUUUUAUGUUUUCAAUUUAGUUAUUCAAUUAUAAUUUUUCAUGUAUUAUUUUUACAAUUCGGUUCUUAUUCUUUUGAUUUAUGUUUUUUUUUCUUGUUAGAGUUUUAUUGAUUUUUAAUUUCAUCAUUUUAUCAAAGUUUAUGUUAUUAUAUUUUAUUUUGAUUUAGCCCUUAUUCUUUUGAUUUUUUUUCUUUUUGUUAAAUUUUUUUUCUUUUUAAUAUAAC
rnacentral:lncRNA from 1 species